rnacentral:rRNA from 1 species
GGCUGUUCGAUUUUAAGAACAGUCUGGCCUGCCCACUGAUUUUUUUAAAGGGCCGCGGUAUCCUGACCGUGCGAAGGUAGCAUAAUAAUUAGUCUUUUAAUUGAAGACCGGAAUGAAAGGUCGGACAAAAAGCAACCUGUCUCAACUUUAAAUAUUAAAUUUAACUUUUAAGUGAAAAGGCUUAAAUAUUCUUGCAGGACGACAAGACCCUAUAAAACUUUAUAUUCUUUCUUUAUACUCCGAUUUAUUCGUGAAAAGUAAGAUAAAUGAAAGUGAUAUUUCGUUGGGGCGACGAGAGUAAAACAAAUAACUGCUUUCUCCUUUAACAUUUAUAAAUGAACAUAUAAUGAUCCUAUUUUAAGAUUUCAAGAAAAAGUUACUUUAGGGAUAACAGCGUUAUUUUUUUUGAGAGUCCUUAUCGACAAAAAAGCUUGCGACCUCGAUGUUGAAUUAAAAUAACCUAAAGGUGCAGCAGCCUUCUAGGUAGGUCUGUUCGACCUUUAAAAUUUUACAUGAUUUGAGUUCAAACCGGUGUAAG